rnacentral:rRNA from 1 species
AACGAAGGAGGGAGGCAUGCCUAACACAUGCAAGUCGAACGAGACCUUCGGGUCUAGUGGCGCACGGGUGCGUAACGCGUGGGAACCUGCCUUUAGGUUCGGAAUAACUCAGAGAAAUUUGAGCUAAUACCGGAUGAUGUCUUCGGACCAAAGAUUUAUCGCCUUUAGAUGGGCCCGCGUUGGAUUAGCUAGUUGGUGGGGUAAAGGCCUACCAAGGCGACGAUCCAUAGCUGGUCUGAGAGGAUGAUCAGCCACACUGGGACUGAGACACGGCCCAGACUCCUACGGGAGGCAGCAGUGGGGAAUAUUGGACAAUGGGCGAAAGCCUGAUCCAGCAAUGCCGCGUGAGUGAUGAAGGCCUUAGGGUUGUAAAGCUCUUUUACCCGAGAUGAUAAUGACAGUAUCGGGAGAAUAAGCUCCGGCUAACUCCGUG